GCGGGGCACAUUCUUGUCCGCCACCGCCUGCGUCGGCGCCUCCCGCUCCCCUCAGGGCCCGACCGACCCCGAGCGAGCGGUGGGCGCUGGGGUGGCUCUUCCUCGCUGUCCGGGUCGCGGUGAGCAGAUCAUUGUUGGAAAUCUAAUGGAACUGAGGCAUGCCAGCAGCACAUCUUUGCUCAAUGAGAUCCAUGUUACCACAGGACAUGAAGUAUGAGGGGCCAGCACCAGAUAGACCUUCCCGUUUGACAACAGCCAGGCCAGGCCAGCUGUGCCACGGACCCCUCCCACUUCCCUCUGCGGAUCCUGCAUUCAGCUCAAGGCUGCUGGCCCAGCUCUCUGUUUACAUGUUUCCAAAUUCAAGGAGGAAAAGUGAAUAUCAAACAGACCUGAGCUCUUUUGA